CCUUUGUACACACCGCCCGUCGCUACUACCGAUUGAAUGGCUUAGUGAGGUCUUCGGAUUGGCUCUGAAAAGCCGGCAACGGCAUUUUGUUGCUGAGAAGUUGAUCAAACUUGGUCAUUUAGA
rnacentral:rRNA from 1 species